UGGGGAAUAUUGCACAAUGGGCGCAAGCCUGAUGCAGCCAUGCCGCGUGUGUGAAGAAGGCCUUCGGUUUUUAAAGCACUUUCAGCGGGGAGGAAGGCGUUAAGGUUAAUAACCUUGGCGAUUGACGUUACCCGCAGAAGAAGCACCGGCUAACUCCGUGCCAGCAGCCGCGGUAAUACGGAGGGUGCAAGCGUUAAUCGGAAUUACUGGGCGUAAAGCGCACGCAGGCGGUUUGUUAAGUCAGAUGUGAAAUCCCCGGGCUCAACCUGGGAACUGGCUCUGAUACUGGCAAGCUUGAGUCUCGUAGAGGGGGGUAGAAUUCCAGGUGUAGCGGUGAAAUGCGUAGAGAUCUGGAGGAAUACCGGUGGCGAAGGCGGCCCCCUGGACAAAGACUGACGCUCAGGUGCGAAAGCGUGGGGAGCAAACAGG
rnacentral:rRNA from 1 species